rnacentral:lncRNA from 1 species
ACACGCCCGCGGCUGGCACACGCGGGCUCCCCCGCGCACCCUCUCCGGGGCCGACCAGCUCGGGCCGCUGGCACAGUCACGCGCGUCCACACAUCACCCCCGCACCCACACGCCGGGCAGGGUCCUCGCCUCUUCGCCCCGCGCCGCGCCGCGCAGCCAAGCAUCGUCUGCCCUGUGGGGGCGCAGUUGGAUCUGCCUCCUGGGGAAGUAACAGCCGGGAUGCCCUUCCAGGUGACCUUCGUUUGGAGAUUGGGUGUGCUCCAGGCACCCCAGGUGAUUCUCAGGCACGCAAGAGUGUUUGAAUGGCUGAUGCAGUGUCAGGGACAAGGAAAGUUGAGAGCCUCCAGGCACAACUCCAGGGCUGCCAAGCCAGACAGACACCAAACUCAAACAAGCUUAAGUGAAAAGAGGAACGCAGUGGCUUACUUAGCUGAGCACUUCAUGAGCACCUUCAGGCAAAGCUGGAUCUAGGUACUCGAAUGAUGGCAUCGGGCCUCCUCUCUCUCCCUAUCUGUCUGUCUCUGUAUCUCAGCUGGGCUUCUCUCUAUGGGUAGUCAAAGAAACCGGCCAAUGACAGCUCCAUACACAGGUCUCACAGCUUACCACCUUCAGUAUAAAAUGAGACCUUCUGAACACCCCACCACACUGUCCACAAAAACCCAGUAAAGCUAUUUAUUGGGUGAUUUGGUUCACAUCCUAUUUCCUAAAUGAAUCAAUUUGGCCAGGGAUAUUGGCAAGGGGAAGGGGUGUCACCAUAAUUGCCCAGCCUAGGUCUUUUGUCCACCUCUCUGUAUUGAGGAUGACAGCCAUAAAUGACAGCUCCAUGAAGACUGAAUGGAGUGGGGAAGGGGAAUAUUCUCCAAAUAAUCUCGGGCAGUCUGGUGGCACUGGUCUAGCUCUCUUAAAAAUCCCUUAAAUAGGCUGGGCGCGGUGGCUCAUGCCUGUAAUCCCAGCACUUUGGAAGGCCGAGGUGGGUGGAUCAUGAGGUCAGGAGAUGGAGACCACGGUGAAACCCCGUCUCUACUAAAACUACAAAAAAACUUAGCCGGGCGGUGGCAGGUGCCUGUAGUCCCAGCUACUUGGGAGGGUGAGGCCGGAGAAUGGCGUGAACCUGAGAGGUGGAGCUUGCAGUGAGCCGAGAUCGCGCCACUGCACUCCAGCCUGGGCGACAGAGCGAGACUCCGUCUCAAAAAAAAAAAAAAUAAAUAAAUCCCUUAAAUAAGUGGUCUAGAGACUUAACCAGUCACCUGGGGCCUGCUCUUUCCAUAUGGCCUCGUCCUCUCCAUCUGAUGCUUGUUCUAACCCCCCAUACCCAGAUAGACCCUGUGAUUUUUGUUGUUGUUGAGACAGGGUCUGGCUCUGUCGCCUAGGCUGGAGUGCAGUGGUGCGAUCUUGGCUCACUACAACCUCCUCCCCCUGGGUUCAAGCGAUUCUCGUGCUUCAGUUUCCCGAGUAGCUGGGAUUACAGCUCCUGGACUUUUUAAAAUUCCUGGAAUUGUGUCUCUCUAUCAUGGGGCUGGUACUAUUACCAUACGUUUCAGAAAACAGCAUCUGUUUACAAAGCGUUUUAUUAUACAACACAGAAAUACAUUUCACCCCAAAUGAUAACAGUGAACUUCAGCCCCCAGAAUCUCCUUCUCCCCUUCGUGAAACAGAGCUGGGAUGAUGGCAGAGGACUCCAGAACGCACUGAGAUUGUUCCUUGGCGUGACAAAUGGCAAAGGACUCUAGAACGCACAGAGAUUGUUCCUUGGUGUGACGGGCCAGACAGCACACCUUUCUUCAAGCCAUUCUCACAUCAAAUAAAACGUUGAUAAAUCAUUGUUUCUCUAAGCUUGAAAAAUGCUACUAACUCAAGACAAGGUGAAAGUGAGUUUGUUGAAAUCAACGUGAAGGAUCGAGGGUACCAACUUGGAAUGUAAAACCAUAGAAAAUACCAUCUGGGAACACGGAAAUCAUCUGUCUUAUCUGGAAGCCUGUCUCCAGAGUGGCAAACUUAGGGACUGGUUUGAGGACAGAGUGUGCCCUGUGUGCUGGGGAGGGGUGUAAAGGACUGGGAUGGAGGAGGGGGGGCUCCAGAUGUUCUUUUACCCAUAAAUACACUGUACAUCACCGUCUGCCACUGAAGCUUAAGGAUUGAAAACCUUGGGGAUGUUUCACUGGUUUUGCUUCCGCCUCUGCAAUGUUUGAACUUGCAUUUUCUGAGCCACGUAUGCAACUAAAAGCCUUACAUGCAUUACCCACCCUUCACCUCUCUUACUAGUCCUAUUUACAGGUGAGAAAACUGAGGCACAAGGAGUUUUGCUGAUUCGGGAUUGUUACGGGUUUUAGGUUUUGUUUUCCUCCUGACAGCUCCUGGACUUUUUAAAAUUCCUGUAAUUGUGUCUCCCAAUCAUGGGCCAGGAAUAUGAGAAUCAGCUGUGAACUUCGAGCCUGUCCAUCUCAAAACUCUUCAUCUCCAAGACAUUUCAAUAGAGCUUUGCCAGUAAACAAAAAUAAAUACGGUUCGGUUUACCCAGAGGCCAAAUCCCUUGUAAUAAGUUCUGGGCCAGUUUCUUCCCAGAGCGGGAGAAUAUACAGUUGUAGUUUGAGUUGAUUUUAUUUCUUUGAGGCUUUGUUUUUCUAGUCUUUCAGGCCUUAACCUCACUCCCUCAGGAACAGCUGAAAUAUGAGAAGAGAUCAUAUGGCCCCCAAAAAGUCCCCAGAUUAACCAAGAUUGAUGCCACCCAGGGCCCAGUUGGGGUCAACACCCUGUGUCAGGUGCGCUCUCUGUAUAAUUCCUGUUUCCUGUGAGAAGAGCAUUAAAGGCCCGUUAAUGUUUUAAAAUGAAAUGCAACCUCUUAAUAAUCAGGUUUCUCCACUCUGCUAGGAUUCCAAAAAAAAAAAUCAGCAACUGACAAAUGUUAAAAAUUUCCUCGCUGCUAAUCAUGCUUUCCCCCGCUUCCCUUUCUUUCCCCCUCUCUUCUAACAUGAAUUUAUUUUCUAUUUGAAAGCCAAUCUCACUGGUUAUUAGAUAUUCUCCCUGCUGUCACUAUCAGUAAAUUAUUAAACAGCUGACCAAGCUUUGUUUUAAAAUGAUUCUCUUAUGAAGCUCAGUGAUAUAUUUGCUAUGAAUACUGAAUGGUGCCGCGGUCUCUAAGGUCACGUGAAUGAUUCCUAUUUACUACCUUUAGCAAAAUGUGUGUGCAAUUAGCGGCAAGAACUUGACUUGAAUCACAGUUACUAGGGAUGCCUGUAGCUCAUUUACAUGGAGCUCCCUUUACUCAUUACACUCCUGCCCAGGAGAAGCGUGUUAAGAUUCUAGGCCAGGUCACGAAAUAGCAUAUAGACUUGUCUUUUGUCAUUCCUCACCUCCUUUCUUGUCUUGCCACUGCUGAGCCUUGACAUACCUGUGGGAAUCCUUUGUUUCAUGGAGCAGCGGGUUCUAAGUGAAUUUUUGCUUAAAGAAAAUAAACGUGAUUGAGAGAAAAUUACUUACCUGUCUGUGUCUCUGCGUCUCAUCUAUAAAAUGGUCGUCAUAAUUUCUACCUCACGGAUUCUAUAAUGAGAACAAAGUGCUGAGCACAGUGCCUAGCAUCGGGUAAAUAUUUGGGAGGUGAUGGGUACUUAUUCUCCUGUUGACUGCUGCAUUAGUCCAAACUCUCAGUUGUAAGUGACAGAGACCUAUCUCCAAUUCACCUGAGCCAAAGAGGAAACACAGUGGCUUCCCUAAUCAAACAGUGGUUGAACAGUCAAGGUCUAACUUGGAAAACAGAAACUGCUUCAAGUAUUUGCAACAGAGGGGAUUUAAUGCAGGAAACUGGCUACACAGAUGAUGAGAGAGCUGGGAGACCAGGAAGGGAGAGGAAGGUAACGCACAAAUACACGAG